CCAGACUCCUACGGGAGGCAGCAGUGGGGAAUAUUGCACAAUGGGGGAAACCCUGAUGCAGCAACGCCGCGUGAAGGAAGACGGUUUUCGGAUUGUAAACUUUUGUUCUUAGUGAAGAAGAAUGACGGUAGCUAAGGAGCAAGCCACGGCUAACUACGUGCCAGCAGCCGCGGUAAUACGUAGGUGGCAAGCGUUGUCCGGAAUUACUGGGCGUAAAGCGCUCGUAGGCGGUAUGUCAAGUCAAGGGUGAAAUCCCCGCGCUCAACGUGGGAACUGCCUUUGAAACUGGCAAACUGGAGUGUGUGAGAGGAUAGUGGAAUUCCAGGUGUAGGAGUGAAAUCCGUAGAUAUCUGGAGGAACAUCAGUGGCGAAGGCGGCCUGCUGGACCGCGACUGACGUUGAGGCUCGAAAGCGUGGGGAGCGAACAGGAUUAGAUACCCCCGUA
rnacentral:rRNA from 1 species